UACGUAGGGUGCAAGCGUUUAAUCGGAAUUACUGGGCGUAAAGCGUGCGCAGGCGGUUGUGCAAGACAGAUGUGAAAUCCCCGGGCUCAACCUGGGAAUUGCAUUUGUGACUGCACGGCUAGAGUGUGUCAGAGGGGGGUAGAAUUCCACGUGUAGCAGUGAAAUGCGUAGAGAUGUGGAGGAACACCGAUGGCGAAGGCAGCCCCCCUGGGCUAACACUGACGCUCAGGCACGAAGCGUGGGGAGCAAACAGG
rnacentral:rRNA from 1 species